rnacentral:rRNA from 1 species
UACGGGGGGGGCAAGCGUUGUUCGGAAUUACUGGGCGUAAAGGGCUCGUAGGCGGCCAACUAAGUCAGACGUGAAAUCCCUCGGCUUAACCGGGGAACUGCAUCUGAUACUGGAUGGCUUGAGUUCGGGAGAGGGAUGUGGAAUUCCAGGUGUAGCGGUGAAAUGCGUAGAUAUUGGGAGGAACACCGGUGGCGAAGGCGGCUACCUGGACCGGUUCUGACGCUGAUGCGCGAAAGCGUGGGUAGCAAACAGG